rnacentral:rRNA from 1 species
UACGAAGGGUGCAAACGUUGCUCGGAAUCAUUGGGCGUAAAGCGCACGUAGGCGGCCUUGUAAGUCGGAUGUGAAAUCCCACGGCUUAACCGUGGAAGUGCAUCCGAAACUGCGAGGCUCGAGUAUGGAAGAGGGUCGCAGAAUUCCCGGUGUAGAGGUGAAAUUCGUAGAUAUCGGGAGGAAUACCAGUGGCGAAGGCGGCGACCUGGGCCAAUACUGACGCUGAGAAGCGAAAGCAUGGGGAGCGAACAGG